CUUCUGGGGGAGGAGCCUCUGGGAGGAAGUUGGCCAUGCCCCUUCCUGUCCCAGGCUGUUGCUGCUGCUGGUUCCUGCAAGCUUGGUCUCAGGACCUUCUAGGGAGAAGAUUGCCAGGCCCUUUCCUGCCUCUUGCUACUGCUAGCUGCUGGCUUCGUCUCAAAGCUUUAGGGAGUGAGUGGGCCACACCCCUUCCUGCCUUGGGCUGCUGCUGCUGCCCCCACCACAGGGGGCUGGGGGGUGUCCUCUGCUGCACGCUGCUGCCCCCCUUUGGGGAGGGGCCCACUGCACUGCACCGCACCCCAGCUUCUGCAUCCUUGUUCCAGUCUGCUGCCCAGCCCACCCCCAAACCGUGGCUGGGGGACAGCCUAGGGAGGGAGCCUGCGCUGCCUUUGGGACCCUCCUCCCGACCAUCACUACCAGUGCCUGAAGGUGCUUUGCUUGCCCCAGCUGCGUUGGCAGGCCACCCCCACCUUCACCUCCACUUUCACUGAGUGGCUGAACUGGACAGCUCCCACCGUCGCUGCUGCUGCCAUUAUUUCUGUUGCUGCCUCAUCUCAGGAAAGAGGGAGAUAUCCUGCUGCAUCACCUUGUACCACCUGAUACCACACCUGCACUGGAUUACUUCCUAAUUGACUGACUGGUCCUGCCCUCCCCCACAGCUACCUCACUGCAUCUGAUCCUGCUUUGUCUUCCUGCUUACUGCUCUGCUGCUGAGUGCCUGGUUGGAGGCCUGAGCGGCUUCUGGACUUAUCUUCAACGAACAAAGCCCCUCUACCACUCCAGCCAGCUUUUACAUCUGCCUCAGCAGCCUUCCAUGUGUGUUCUUACCCUUGUGUGGAGUUGGGCAGAUCCAGUGAAGAGCGAUCCCCUUUGCUGAAGUUGGACUGAGCCCAUAUGGAGCGCCUGGCUCGAGCCAGCAUAACCCUUCACUCAGCUGCUGUUUCCAGUGAAACUAGUACUGCGGCUUUGGUGAUGGCAUCAGCCCAACCUCCAAAUGUUCUUUGGCAGGCUGCCAACAUCAUCCCCAAGGCAUUAAAAGUUUGGAAGAUGGAAAGACAUCUGGAUGCUAGACAUAUUGCUGUGAAAAUGACUAUUACUAAUAAUAACCAUAAUAAUAACAACAAUUUCUGUUUGAUGGCACCACAUGCACGCAGACCUCGGGGCACACUUAACAAUGCUUAAUAAACUAAAUGACUACAUUUACAACUCACACAAUAUGUCUGUCCAUCCCUUGAUAAAUCACAAUGAAAAAGGGAGGGAUGAUACAAACCCACAGAACAGCAAAAGAGCAGAACAUAAUCAAAUGCCAAAAACAUGGUAAAGCUAUACAGGUCCUU